rnacentral:misc_RNA from 1 species
ACACUAGUUUGAUUUGGCGGGCUGAUCACAUUUUUGAAGUAACGAACUUUAUAGGUUAACCUAACUUGAGCAUUGAAAUGUAAAGUUGAAUAACAAAUCUUUUAUUAGUUGAACCAUUUAAUUCAUUUAUCCAAGGAACAAUAUUUCAGAAAUAUGGAAUGUAAUAAUGGUACAAUCAGCAAUGGGGAUUCCAUUGUAACCGAAAGAAUGAUGGUACUUCAGAAUGCAGUUCACAAAACAGUCCAAGAAAUCAUUAAAGGAGUUAGCGAUGAAGAGUUCAGAAAUGUUAUUGGCGACUUACAACCACUGAAAACUAAACACCUACUUGCGCAAAAGUUGCAUGCAAAGUUCAAUAUAGUCUUUGACAACAAUGCAGCUCAAUGGUUACAUGAUUUAGUGAAGACUGAUAAUCUUGAUGCCAAAUUUUCAGAACUGUUAGUUCUAACAGAUAAUAACGCCGAACACGAAGAUGUGGAAGCUUGGAGACCACCUGGCAGUGUUGAAAAACAUUUACGUGCUCCUUCCAUCACAGAAAAAUUGAGAUUCAUUGAAAAUUUGAAACUGCACGUGGAAGAGACAGAAAAAUCAGUUGAGUUUUUGAAGACCAAGGUGAUCAAAGCGAGGGAUCAAGUGCAACAUCAGAUAAAAAUACUAGAUGAACUGACCAAUGCCGCCGAUAUUUCAGCAGACAAUUGCAAAAUUGUCUUCAACAUACUUACUGAUCGUGAAAUUUGAUGUUUUCAAUUUAUAAUUUUUUAUCCUGUAUAUAGAUGUAGAAAUAAUAUUAUUUUCGAUAUUCGAUUCAUAACAGACAUCAUUUUACCAUACAGAAUAGGGAAAACAGUCCAUGAUAAAAAAGUCCAUUCCUCUAUAAACUUCUACAAUUUAAAAAAAAUGUCGUUAUGGACUGUGAAUCUCAAAUUGAUUGUAUUCUCUUUUAACUGAUUAACUUCUAAAUAAAUAUUAUUUCGUUCAUGUUUUUUA